UACGUAGGGGGCAAGCGUUGUCCGGAUUUAUUGGGCGUAAAGAGCGUGUAGGCGGCCAGACAGGUCAGCUGUGAAAACUCGAGGCUCAACCUCGAGACGUCGGUUGAAACCGUCUGGCUAGAGUCCGGAAGAGGAGAGUGGAAUUCCUGGUGUAGCGGUGGAAUGCGCAGAUAUCAGGAGGAACACCAAUAGCGAAGGCAGCUCGCUGGGACGUUACUGACACUGAGGCGCGAAAGCGUGGGGAGCGAACAGG
rnacentral:rRNA from 1 species